GUCGAACGGUAGAGGGGGCAACCCCUUGAGAGUGGCGAACGGGUGAGUAAUAUAUCGGAACGUGCCCAGUCGUGGGGGAUAACGUAGCGAAAGUUACGCUAAUACCGCAUACGAUCUAAGGAUGAAAGCGGGGGAUCGCAAGACCUCGCGCGAUUGGAGCGGCCGAUAUCAGAUUAGGUAGUUGGUGGGGUAAAGGCUCACCAAGCCAACGAUCUGUAGCUGGUCUGAGAGGACGACCAGCCACACUGGAACUGAGACACGGUCCAGACUCCUACGGGAGGCAGCAGUGGGGAAUUUUGGACAAUGGACGCAAGUCUGAUCCAGCCAUUCCGCGUGCAGGAUGAAGGCCCUCGGGUUGUAAACUGCUUUUGUACGGAACGAAAAGGUUUCUAUUAAUACUAGGAGCUCAUGACGGUACCGUAAGAAUAAGCACCGGCUAACUACGUGCCAGCAGCCGCGGUAAUACGUAGGGUGCAAGCGUUAAUCGGAAUUACUGGGCGUAAAGCGUGCGCAGGCGGUUAUGUAAGACAGAGGUGAAAUCCCCGGGCUCAACCUGGGAACUGCCUUUGUGACUGCAUAGCUAGAGUACGGUAGAGGGGGAUGGAAUUCCGCGUGUAGCAGUGAAAUGCGUAGAUAUGCGGAGGAACACCGAUGGCGAAGGCAAUCCCCUGGACCUGUACUGACGCUCAUGCACGAAAGCGUGCGGAGCAAACAGGAUUAGAUACCCUGGUAGUCCACGCCCUAAACGAU
rnacentral:rRNA from 1 species